AUUACAAGUAAGAGCAGAAAAAGCCAUUUAUUCAGGAGACAUGACCUCCUAACUUCUUCGAGAAAUACUUACAUAUUUUGUGAAAACUGACUCAGAAUUCUACCCUCAUCACAUCUUACCACACAGAAUAAUCAUGCUUCUCUCUGAUCCAGCUGAUCUUGGAUUCCCUUCCGUACAAUGACACAGCUUCGCUAAAAAGAAUGAUAAAUGUUCCUCCUCUAUUCCCAAGAGCAGUCUAUGGUUUGUGGUUAAAACAUACUGAAAGGAAUAUGAAACAUGGGUCUGAAUCUAACCUAAGUCAACGGAGGACUUUGAAAACAAGUUGCUUAUGCAGCCAAAGAGAAUGCUGUAAUCUACCACAGCCAUAUCACAUGCCAUUUCAAAAGCGAACAUUAGCCUUCACUGCCUUUUAUAGGAAGAUAAAGAACUCGGCCUGUGCAUGUGCAUUAGACGGGACAGAUACCUGCUGAAACCUUUAUGCUGAUUGCACUCAGGUUUUCGUACAAGGUGUGGCUGGAGGAGGGCUCCAAGACUGCUGUCCUGACUGCUGUUUUCUAGGUCAGAGAGAACUAGGAAGAAGGGAAAGGCUGGGCUUUCUCAGAGAGAGCUGUGCACAUGCAGCGAACAAGGAUGCAGGACAGGCUGAAGAUGGAGAGAAUCCAGCAAGUGGGGGGUUUUGACAACCAGCAGAAACUGGAAGACUGUGAGAAGUAAAGGAGGUACGCUGUCAGGUCUCACAGGUGAUGGAAGAAACUUCUCAGGUACACAGAAGACUGUAACAUUUGCUGAAAAUCAAAAAGUUGUUAAUUUACAGAAAACAGACAAAGUAAAAGAGCCAUCCUCCAACAAUAUAUAGAGGGGAAGGGCAGAUGAGUUUAUGAAUCCCUUUCAUUUCUCUGUUGUUCACUUUAAGACAAUUGAUGACAAUCAUUAAAGGGUUAAUUGCU